rfam:Gossypium raimondii Chr04_contig_262, whole genome shotgun sequence.
CUCAAGGAAGCGCUUUGUCCACGUGGACAGAAAUUGUAUCCUUGAGGGCGCACUUUCUGUCCACGUGGACAAAGCGCUCCCUUGAGA